AAAAUAACAAUUUGCCACCCAUUGUAUGGUUGAGUCCGGCUUGUCCGCGGCCCAGCCCCAAAACAUUGGGAUUUUUUGGCCCCACAUCUUGUGCACUGUACCGUCUUUGGUGGUGGGGUGGGGCAUUGCAGUAUGCUUUGUCUCAUCUGUCAGCUUGGAUCGCAAGGUCCAUGCCGUGGACAAGCCACCGCAUGUAUUCAAACAUUUUCCUUUUCUUUUGUCUGACAUUUCAACUUGUAUUAAUAUACAAA
rnacentral:misc_RNA from 1 species